UAGUUUAAUCUAGCAGUUUUUACAUUGUGGUCUGUGCACCAGAACUGGCUUGUAAAACUUUUUCUUUCAGUGGUUUUAUUGUUCAAGAACUGAUGCUUCUUGUUACUUCUUGCCAUGCAUUUUGGUUUUGUGAAUGUGUAUACUUAGAUAAAAGAAUAAUACUAAUCAUGUAUAUACCUUUUGUACAGGUUUAUGUUAUAAUUAAAUAAAAAUUAUACCAGAACUGCAGCAGUAACAACACUUCUGAAAGGCUAAGUUAACAGGAAAAGGAACAGUUAGCAGUGAAUUAGAGAAAUCUGGGAUGCCUUCACUUCAGAUAUUCAGCAAGGAAGAGGAAGCACCACAGUCUCUGUUCCAGGUUCAGCUUUGCAAGGCAUCAAUCUCCUAGCCGCCCUAGAACUUUACCAAAGAUUAAGAUGCAGUCUUCUGGUUUGUCCUUUCCAUGUGGGUCAGUGGCAACUCAAUUCCUGAUACAUCAAAUCCAGAAACUUGCUGAGACCGUCAGUAUCUCUGGCAGCAUCACAUGGAGCAGAUGACACUUAUUUUAUCUGUGGUACAUUUAAUGCUCUUCAGGAACUCCUGUCCUACAUAAGAAAAAUAAAACUUACAUCUGAGAUGCAUUAAUAACUGUUGUAAAGUAAGAAAGUAACUGUUGUAAGGUAAGAAGUAAAAAGAAACAUUUGAUCACCUAAG